rnacentral:pre_miRNA from 1 species
UACCGAAGUUUUCCUCGGUAGUUAACUGCAGCCGUUUUUUCAAACUUCGGCAGUUAAUUGCCGAAGGACAU